AGCGGCCCCCGGGGGGGGGCAGGCAGUGGGCUCCCAGUUCCUCUCCGUCCGGCAACGCCAUCGCCCCCUUCUCGUUCCCGGUGUGGGUCCCCUUGUGUCCUGGUACUGGGUGGGCACUCAGUGCAGGUCGAAGGACCGAGGGGUGCAGUUAGGUCACCCUGUGUGUACAAGAGGCCCGAGCUGACCCGACCCACGUCUCCUUGUAGACAUUGACAAGGUCAUGAUCAACCUCAAGACGGAGGAAUUUGUGCUG
rnacentral:lncRNA from 1 species